CCUGCCUUGAAGUUCAGGGACUUUUUAACGCCGAUCAAAGCGCCACUCCUGCACAGAGUCACACACUGAGCCGAGGCGCUCUGGGUUUUUUCUUUUUUCUUUUCUUUCCCCUGUAAAGUCGGUCCAGCUCUGCGCCGCCGGACCCGGGUCCGCGCAUCUGUCCGUCAGGGCUGCGCUUCACCUGAGAGUCCGGAUCACGCUCGUUUCAGUCUCACCAUGGAUUCCCGGACCGCCACCUCCGCUCUGCUCCUGGCUGGCUUUAUCUCCUCCGCGGCUUUCAGUCACUUCGACACCGAGUGCUACACUGCCAACGGAGAAGACUACAGGGGCUUUCAGAACCAGACCAGCCUUCACGGUGGGAAACCCUGCCUCUUCUGGAACGAGACCUUCCAGCACCCUUACAACACCCUCAAGUACCCCAAUGGAGAGGGAGGUCUGGGCAGCCACAACUACUGCAGGAAUCCUGAUGGGGAUGUUCAACCGUGGUGCUACAUUGCCGAUCACGAGGAUGGCAUCUACUGGCGGUACUGUGACAUCCCCACAUGCCAGAUGCCGGGAAACUUGGGCUGUUUCAAAGACAGCGGGGACCCGCCCACCCUGUCCGGCUCCAGCGAGACGUCCAACAAGCUCACCAUCCAGAACUGCAUCACGUUCUGCAGGAAGCAAAGAUACAGGCUGGCUGGCAUGGAGUCGGGCUACGCCUGUUUCUGUGGCAACGAGGUGGACCUGCGCAGUCACGGGGAGUCGCCCAGCAUGGAGUGUAACCAUGUUUGUUUCGGCGACCACACGCAGCCCUGCGGCGGCGACGGCUGGGUCAUCAUCUUUGACACACGUGUGGGGGCCUGCGGCGGGAACUACACCUCCCCGUCGGGGGUGAUCUACUCCCCCGACUUCCCCGACAAAUACGGGGCGGGCCGCGUCUGCUACUGGACCAUCCAGGUCCCGGGGGCCGCCGCCAUCCUCUUCAACUUCACCUUCUUCGACGUGUCCCACCAGACCGACAUGGUGGAGCUCCUGGACGGCUACACCAACCAGGUGGUGGCCCGCUUCGACUUCCGCAGCCCGCCGCUGGAGCUGGUCAACGUCACGGGCGACUUCGUCAUCCUGUACUUCUACUCGGACCGAACCAACCAGGCGCAGGGAUUCGCUCUGCUGUAUCAAGGUGAGGAUGGCCUGGAGUCAUGGACACGCACGUGA
rnacentral:lncRNA from 1 species